AACAAGUUUGGAACAAGCUGUCAACAACUUGUAACAAGCUUGCUGGGAUUAACAGACUUGUUACAAGGUUGUUCUAACAAGUCUGAUACAGUCAUGAUAUAACAAGAAUGUUACAAGGUUGACCACACAAGAUUGUAACAAUACUGAUAUAUCAUGACUGUAUCUGACUUUGUUGGAACAAACUUGUAACAAGUCUGAUAAUAUCAACAACGUUGUUACAAAUUGUUAACAGAUUGUUCCAGACUUGUU